CCUACGGGCGGCAGCAGUGAGGAAUAUUGGUCAAUGGGCGCGAGCCUGAACCAGCCAAGUAGCGUGAAGGAUGACUGCCCUACGGGUUGUAAACCUCUUUUAUCAAGGAAUAAAGUGCGGCACGUGUGCCUUUUGUAGGUACUUUAUGAAUAAGGCACGGCUAACUCCGUGCCAGCAGCCGCGGUAAUAAGGAGGAUCCGAGCGUUUACCGGAUUUAAUGGGGUUAAAGGGAGCGUAGAUGGGUUGUUAAGGCAGUUGUGAAAGUUGGCGGCUCAACCGUAAAAUUGCAAUUGAUACUGGCAGUCUUGAGUGCAGGUGAGGUAGGCGGAAUGCGUGGUGUAGCGGUGAAAUGCUUAGAUAUCACGAAGAACUCCGAUUGCGAAGGCAGCUUACUAAACUGCCACUGACAUUGAUGCUCGAAAGUGUGGGUAUCAAACAGGAUUAGAUACCCCGGUAGUC
rnacentral:rRNA from 1 species